CCUACGGGAGGCAGCAGUGAGGAAUAUUGGUCAAUGGACGAGAGUCUGAACCAGCCAAGUAGCGUGAAGGAUGACUGCCCUAUGGGUUGUAAACUUCUUUUAUAUGGGAAUAAAAUGUUCCACGUGUGGGAGUUUGUAUGUACCAUAUGAAUAAGGAUCGGCUAACUCCGUGCCAGCAGCCGCGGUAAUACGGAGGAUCCGAGCGUUAUCCGGAUUUAUUGGGUGUAAAGGGAGCGUAGGUGGAUUGUUAAGUCAGUGGUGAAAGUUUGGGGCUCAACCGGAAAAUUGCAGUUGAAACUGGCAGACUUGAGUGUAGUAGAGGUGGGCGGAAUUCGUGGUGUAGCGGUGAAAUGCUUAGAUAUCACGAAGAACUCCGAUUGCGAAGGCAGCUCACUGGACUGCAACUGACACUGAGGCUCGAAAGUGUGGGUAUCAAACAGGAUUAGAUACCCGAGUAGUC
rnacentral:rRNA from 1 species